rnacentral:miRNA from 4 species
UGAGAACUGAAUUCCAUAGGUU